rnacentral:lncRNA from 1 species
AAGAUGCUUGUAGAAGAGUAAGUUUUUGAACUAAAGUUGUACUUUCAUUUUGAUAUUCCAUCUUUCCAUUUUGUUUGUUUAUAUGGUGGAAUGAAUGUAGGAGUUCAGUGUCCUUGUACACUACCCUUUCUCUUUGUUGUUUGUUACUGAUAUCAUUAUGCCUUGUAGGUCAAAGUCGACUACCAUAAUUCUAUUGAUAUUUUGCAGAUUAUUCAGCACUACCUCAAAUAUCAUGGCGGGUCCAUGCAAAUGGCGAAAUAUGGAAACAAAAAGACAAUGAUGAAUUGCACCCUGAAUUUGUGGCAAUUAUUCGGCAAGAACAUUUCAAGUAACGUAACAGAACUUGGACGAUCUUGUCACUCAAAGCUAUCUUCUAAAUGUUGUCUUCCAAGUUUCUUGAUCGCGAACUUUAGGUUGAUCUGCUGUUUGAGGAUUGUAUCUUUACUGAAUCUCAAAGGGAUUGAUUUAUUUUUUCCACGGCCCAGGCUUGAUUAGCAUAAGUAUGCAGUAGUUUCUAAUAAUAUUAAGUAAUUUUUUGUGCUUGUAUUAACUCUAAAGAUAGAACCACAUUGUAUUUUUAUGCCACUGAAAUGUCUACUCUUUACAAAAAGAUGAAAUGAAGAAAUUUCCCAUUUUUUAUUUUGAUUAUUGAAGAUUUAUGCUUUCUUUCUUAUUGUCCAAAGCAUUAUCUUAUGCCACACGAACCCAAGUUGCGUGUACCAAACAUGAAACUUUGUGUAAUGUGCUGGUUACAUUUGCAUGAAGACAUAAUUUUACUCUUUAUUGUGAACAGAGAAAUCACUUUUGUUAAAAUCAGUGGCAUCUCUUGAAUAAUGUUAACGUAUGACACAUGCCUACUUCCAAUUUCUUUAUAAUAACAGCACACUGUGUACAUAAUUUAUGCAUACAGAAUGAAUAUAAAUAUUUAUGUACGAUUGUGCACGUGUCACUAACUCGAGUAUCUAUUCCGUACUUGUCUAUACAGUGUUUAUUGUGGGCACGAUAACUGGUUAACUAGAGAUGUGUCUGUUUCGGUUCUCUCCUUGUUUUGUUGCACAAUCAAAAGUUACAAACAUUCUCGAAUCCGAAGUUCUUGAGUGAGACCAAACUUGAAACAUGGAGCAUCGCCUCGAUUUUAUUAGGCCCUCGUGGUUGAUCGAGGUCGACUUCUUGUCCAACAUUACUCUUAUUGCAACAGUACAGCAUGAAGAAGUCUCCCCAUAGCACCAUAAUCACCCCAUCUUUAAAAAUUUUGAAUGGAUAAACUACUUCUAGUGUUGGCCCUGUUAGCUCUGUCAUUUUAGUGAUGACAAAUUGUCGAGUCCACGAUUUCUCUACUCCAUAUUCUUUCAUAACCCAGAUGUUGAUUUCACAAUGUGAAGUAUUAUCGCAUAAACACAGACAAUCGUGUAAAACUCCGAGACUCCCUAGAAGCCCUUCCAUGCCAGGAAAUGGAGCCGGGAAUGGUUGAAACACUUCGUUUUCAAGAUUGAAACAUGAAAUCAUUUCAUGAGUAUCGUCUAAAUCUUUUAUCAACCAAUGAAUAUUUCCAUUGAAAAAUAGCCCAACAGAACGACAACGACGACCAUAUGCAAAAUUCAACAUAUUUCCAUUAAUGCUUCUCCAUGAUCCAGUUCCAAGUGUGUAAACAUGACAUUCCGACCGUGGAAUUCUUAUGCAUGUUUGCCUAACCGGGUCGAGAACCUGGUCGUGAAAAACUCGAACCACUUUAUAUUCACUAGAUACUCUACUUACCCCAAACCCAUAUGUGGCCAUGCUAGGAUACCGAACGACUCCCUUGGGAGACGGGAGCCUAACAUAUUCCCGCGUAAUUGGAUUAAAAAUGUAAACACUUUCAUGUUCGUAAUUCGAAUCCCUUAAGCAUAUCAAGCCAUUAACAGAACCAUCAAGAACUAUAUUUGCACCAGAGAAUUCACUAAUCCUCUUGAGAUCAAAUUUCACAAGAGAAUCUUCAUCAAGAUUGUGAUGAUCAAUCUCAUCUUCAAAUUCCACUACCUUGAUGAGAUUCUUGAACAUUUCAGAUUGAUGGACGACGAUGCCUGGACGAGCCUUGGCAAAAUGUAAGGCUACAAAUUUACUGUCGGAAAAUAUCUUGAUCCAGGUUUUGCAUACGCAUUUGCAUCGGAACACGGCUCGGGCAGGGAGCCUCGACAGAAUUUCAACCAAAAUAUCUGAUGGUAGGUUCAUUAAGAAAACAUUUUUCUGGUUUAUGUAUUUGCAGUCUAUCGAAUUCUCCAUAGCUGCUGUAGUGGGGGUGGACUGGGGUGGGUUCUCUCUACAUCUAAGCCAAGGCAAAGAUGAAUUUAUAUAUAAGAGUUGUUGCUUUAUAAUAACGCUUUCAUCCAACAUAGAGGAAAAUUGGAAUACGGCACUUUUUAACGUUAUUUCAAGAUUCCAUUUCCCAUGUCAGUUUCUUGUUAGAAGGCCGGCAAGUUGUUUUCGUCUGGGAAAAUGCCAUUUUGUCCGAAAAUAUUUGACACUAAAGGUGAUAGGCACUUACAAAGUGUGCGGGUGCGGGUCCCACGUAAAUUAAAUAAUGUCUGACCCUCGAGUUGUGUGUUCAAUUAUCUCCUACGUCAACCGUCAUAUUCCUCUAACUCAGUCCUUUCGUCUGUUAAAUGACAGAUAGAGAUUGAAAAACAUGUUGCUUGUAUUUGAAUUUUGAGUUCAUUUUCAAUUUUUUUUAUUUUGAGAAUUUGUUUUAAAAUUGUUGAAACUCAUCAUUUUGAAAAAUUAAUUUUCGAAACAAAAAAAACUACAAAACACUUUUGAUUUGAGAUUUUAUAUAUUUUAUGUUUUUGUAUUAUAUUUUUAAAAAUUUUAUUUGUUAGAAUUUUAUAUUUUUAUUUUUAAAAACUAUUUCAUUUAAAUAAAAUUUUAUUCAAACAAUUGUUUUCUCUAUUUUGAAUGGUUUCAGUAUUUUAUCUGAAAACGUCAAAAAUGUAUUUUGAAUUUUAUGUUAUAAAUUUAUUCUUGUUUUCGAAAAUAUAUUUUGAGAAAUAUAAGAUCAAAAAUAUUUUCAGUGUUUUGCAACAUUGAGAACAGCUUAAAAUGGCAAACCAAACGUACUCUUAAAAAUUGUGUCAAUUUAACGGUUAAUUUUACUGAUGGCCACCGAAGUUUAACUUGUUUUACACUGAUCACUAAUUUUCAUAAAAAGUUUCAUUUAGUUUAUUGGUUCAGUUUGAUGCUUAUUCUUUAAUUGAAAAUCCUACUUCUUUGCAGGUUAGUGCGUGUACGUAUUGAUAGUCGAGUUAUAAAAAUGAUCCAAAGUUGAGUCAGUGGUUUGAAUAUAUUAUUUUGUAGAGUUGAGUGGUGAAUAUGAGACAAAAUUAAACUUUAGUGGCCAAGGUGAUAUUAAGUGUAAAUUCUAGUGGCCACUAGUAGUCAAUGAUUUGCAUUUUUCAUAUAUAUAUAUAUAUAUAUAUAUCUUUGUUGAUGACUGAAAAAGGACAUGUCAAAUUAAGAUCAACUUGAUACAAUUUUUGGGCAAUUGCUGGACAUCAUGCUACAGUGUCGAUCUUGAAAUACAUGUAAAUGUCUAAUAAAUGAGUUUGAUUGAGUGUUAACGUCAAUAGAUCAAGUUGUCAUUUUGCCUAUGUUUUCGAUGUCUCCUAGGUACCCCUAAGUCAUCACUAUUUUCCUUUGAUUGAUGGCAUCUGAAGACGACCACUUCAGAAGACACAAUUGUAUCAAUAUAAUUGGUCACGUUUGUGGUUAUAGUGUCAGCAAUGAAACACUUUCACAAAAAGCAAUGAUGAUGUUUUCAAAUGAUAAUGAUCGAUCAAGUUUGGUGAGAGAGCUGGCAAUUCGACCUCAAAUUAUAUUUUUGCAAUAGCAUUUUCAAUUUUCUGAAGUGGGUCCAUGACGAUCCUUGAGUUUGGUCACCAAAAAUCUUAAAUCUUCCUUAUAAGUAGCAAUGAUGAUAAUAUAUUCCAUAAUCAAUUUUUAGUCAUUUAUUAGAAAAAGGUAAUCCCUUAUCAGAAAAAAUUACAAAUUAUAAAAAGGCAAACUUUAGUUCCAUCAUGAGACUUGGUGCUCGGCAGAACUUAUGCUGAUGGAUUUGAGUUCUUUAAUUUUUAUUUAAUUCCUAUUCAAAGCUGCUUUUAUUAUUACCUUAACAAAACUUGGACUUUCAAAGCUGCUUUGACAAACAAUGUGGGUCCUUCAUAAUUAAUUAGUGGUCCCAACUAUUUUUACCAACUAAGGUGAGGAAUGAGAAUCAUGACGUUGCUUAAAUAGACGUGCCUACCGGCUUUUCUCAAAUCUUGACACCUCAAUAUAAUAAAUAAUGUUAUUCAACACCAGUGAUAUUUAAUGUCAAUUUAGGCGACAAUACUUACAGAUUCAACUAAGUAUAAUGAUUUAUAACUUAUUAAUAGAACAUAUAAUAUACUGACACAUAAAUAGAUGUUCAAUACUAUCGAUUUUAUAUAGCAUUAUUCCAAUGUGAGAUGUAUUUUAUUACAUAAGGUCCUUAUCUCGGGGCGAAUCAACAUAGAGGGCCUUCACAUGCGUUUUUAGAUACUCUCCAAAUUUGUGAAUGUGGAUAUUCGAGCAGUAAUUUUAAUUUAAACAAAUGUCUAAGUUCAGCGACCAUCUAAGCAAUUUUAAGCUUCUCAAUGUCCUACUGUCAAUUCCGUUUGCCAUACAAUGCUCACGUUAGAUACUCUCCGUUAAUAUGUAUACACUAGUGAGUGGUAACUUAAACAAAUGUCUAAAUUGUUUGUGACCAUCUUUAUAUUCAUCAGAAACUCGACUUACCCCAAACCCAUAUGUGGCUAUGCUAGGAUACCAAACGACUCCCUCGGGUGUCGGAGCCUAACAUAUUCCAGCGUAAUUGGAUUAAAAACGUAAACACUUUCUUCUUUUUAAUUCGUGUCCCGUGAGCAUAUCAAGUCAUUAACAGAAACCAUCAAGAACUAUAUUUGCAUUAGAGAAUUCAUUCAUCCUCUUGAGAUCAACUUUCACAAGAGAAUCAUCAUCAAGAUCAUUAUGAUCAAUUUCAUCUUCAAAUUCCACCACCUUGAUGAUAUUCUUGAAUAUUUCUGAUGGACGACGAGGCUUGGACGAGCCUAAAUUUAAUAUCCCAAGACUUUUACAAAAGUGAGGUUUUUUAUUUGUAUUUUGUGUUUCAAAGUUAGUAUGUGAAGGUUUUACAAAAGUCAUUAAAAGCUAUUGAUAUUUUGAAUAUCGAUAACUUUUAAAGACUUUAAAAUGUCUUAAGUUAAUUUCCCAAGUCUUUUAAGGAAUUUUACAAUGUGUAUAAUAUUUUUAUUUUUAAUGCCUUAAUACUUUUAUGGGAAAUUUUUCAAAACACCCUAUNNNNNNNNNNNNNNNNNNNNNNNNNNNNNNNNNNNNNNNNNNNNNNNNNNNNNNNNNNNNNNNNNNNNNNNNNNNNNNNNNNNNNNNNNNNNNNNNNNNNNNNNNNNNNNNNNNNNNNNNNNNNNNNNNUAUAUAUAUAUAUAUAUAUAUAUUAUUGAUUGAUAAUGCCACAAUUUAAAGAGGUUUGCAGAAGUAACAAACCAAAAAAGGAUCAUAACAAAUACUAGAAAAUUAGGAUAUACAUAUACAAAUUUAAAUAACAACCUAAUCUAAAUCCUGUUUCUAGAAAAUAAGAGGUAAGAUUACAACUAUGACAGAAAUAUUGUUCUUCAAAACUCUCCCUCAAGCUGGAGAGAAAAUAUUGAUGAUUCCCAGCUUGCUCACACAGUCUUCAAACAUCUGCCUGCUAGAUCCCUUUGUAAAAAUGUCUCCAACCUGGUUCUUGGAUGGGACAUAUGUUAUACAAACAUCUUCGCUCUCUAUCUUUUCUUUGACAAAAUGUUUGUCAAUCUCUACAUGUUUGGUGCGAUCGUGAUGAAUUGGAUUAUGAGCCAUACUUAUGGAUGGGUCUUAAGUAUGGCUGUUGUUGCUCAUCCAAAAGCCUUCUAAUCCAAAUAAGUUCACUAUAGCCAUGUGCUAAAGCUCUCAGUUCUGCUUCUCCACUACUUUUAGCUACUACACUUUGUUCUUUGCUUCUCCAAGUCACCAAAUUGCCCCCACACAAAUGUACAGUACCCGGAUGUAGACCUCAUAUCAUCAAUAGAGCUAGCCCAAUCAGAAUCGGUAUAGGUUUCAAUGCAUCUAUUUUGGUUUUUGCCAAAAAAUAAUCCUUUUCCCCAGCUCCCCUUUAAAUAUCUUAAAAUCUUGUUAAGUCAUAUUUGCUCCAAUAAGGAAGCUAUUAUGCUAUACUAAAAAGUAAAAACUAACUUUCAUACAAAUGUGAUGGCCAGUCAAAUAGAUUUUCUCGUAAAUAUAUCUAAAACUUUUUUCUUAAUAUGUUAGAAAUCGUUCCAAAGAAACACGUUGUAAAAGCAUAAAAGUAAUCAAGACUAUAUCGCGCAUCAAAAGCAAGUUCAUAAAAUUUAAGAUGUAAAAUAAAUUCUUUUAACCUCGAUGUGAAAAUUAGGAAAAUUGAGGAACCAAUGUUGGCAGUAAGUAAAGAUAAUGAAAAAGAGAGAUUUGAGGACCCAAUGUUGGCUGUAACUAAAGAUAAUGAAAAAGAAAGGUUUGAGGAUCCGAGUUCUACUUGUUGGUAAUGAUGAAAGACGGUUCAAGAGUGUAAGUUAGAACUUAUUGAUGCAUCUGUUUAUUCAGUGCUCUAGACGUGGCUUAUUCCCUGAGAUUUUGUGUUUCCUAAUUGAUGCGUUAAUCUUUUAUUUCAGCCUGUCAUUGCAGCAUUGCAAUGAAAUCAAGUCUUGCUUGAACUUAGAGAUGUUUUUCUAAGACAUUGAAGAAGAUUGUAGUUUAUACUUUUUCUGGCUAAUAGAGUUGUAAUAAUCCAAAGAAAAUUUUGACAAUUCCCAAGAGUUAGAUCCAUAUCCUUGUCUGUGUUUGACACUUCUACCCAAGUUCAAGCAACAUAGUUUUUGCCUCUAAUUCUUGGUGCAGUUAGAUCAUACUCGUGUUCUUUUGGUUGUUUCAACGGUCUCAUUUGAAUUUUAAAUUAAUUGAAUCAUUUUGGCUUUUAUUUCCAGGCUUUGGACACAUUUAACACUGCUGUAGUUUCUCCAAUCUAUUAUGCCAUGUUCACAUCGCUUACAAUUUUUGCCAGUGCCAUAAUGUUCAAGGUAUCUAAGAAUGUCCCUUGCAACAAUGUUACAGUGUUGCUAUUUUGUUUAAACUCUAAACCUGUACUCCACUACUCUAGGAUUGGGCUGGUCAGAGUGCUAGCAGCAUUGUUUCGGUUCUCUGUGGAUUUAUUACUGUACUUUCGGGUAAAAUGGUUUUGCACAGUACAAGAGAUCCAGAAAACACAGCAGCUGCAGGUAUGUCCACUUCUCUACUUGAGCACGAAUAUAUUCAUUGAAACAUCUACUUUAUUUGUGGCUGACUUUGUUUUCAGUAAUUCUUGGAACUUGUACUUUUUGAUGAUUGUUGCAACUAGCUUAUAGCAAAUGACGUAAUUUUUAUGAACUUAGCACUGAGCACUUUCUGUUUCAAGUUGUCCGCUCGAUUUUAUUUCUUUGCAGUUUAUGGUAGAUUUAUUGGUAAAUACCUUUUCCCGUUGCUUUUUGUUGCUGAUAUCUUUAUGCUUUGUGGGUCAAAAUUGACUACCAUAAUUCUAUUGAUAUUUUUUAGAUUAUUCAGCACUACCUCAAAUAUCAUGGCGGGUCCAUGCAAAUGGCGAAAUAUGGAAACAAAAAGACAAUGAUGAAUUGCACCCUGAAUUUGUGGCAAUUAUUCGGCAAGAAC